rnacentral:rRNA from 2 species
GAGGGUUUGAUUCAAUGCUCCGUAAGCAUGCAACAAUAAACGGACAGACACAUGCAAGGUCUAUAAAAUGACCGUAAAGGUGAGUAACAACGC